AUCUUGUGUGUCAUAAGAAUUGAUUGUACCAGGUAACCGAGUUUCGGUUGGUGCUGGUUGUACAGUAACGUGAGGCCCAGCCUUGUGAGGGCUGUGGUGACCAACUCGAGAUUGCCAGUCUGUCAUAAAAAUUUUUGGCUCAUGAGUUUAUGAGUGAGGCUAGCAUAGCCUGGGUGUCACCUGAGUUGAUGUAGCUGGGCCUUCCCCUGCCUCCGUGUUGUCCGUUGAUGUAUGGAGGAGUUUGAAUAACUCUGCUUUCCUUGCUGUAGCAGGGUAGGGUAUUUGUCACCUCCUUAGGUCGGUGGUAAUGGGUGGGAUCGUCCAGGAUCUGAUUGCUGCAGGACUAGCAACAUGUCCUCUGCUUGAAGGUGUAUCAAUUCUAGACGGGGUGCUAGGAAGAGGUGAUUCUUCACCAUCUUUUGGAAAAAUACUUAAAUAACAAUAAAGAUGCAAUUAUUUGUACCCAGGGUUCUUGUACUGGCUUGCUAGCUAAGCCGUAAGGCGAAACGAUUAGGCUUGGUGUUUUUU